AUAUCUAGCUCGCUCAGUCUCGU
rnacentral:siRNA from 1 species